rnacentral:rRNA from 1 species
AUGAACGCUGGCUACAGGCUUAACACAUGCAAGUCGAGGGGAAACGACGGGGAAGCUUGCUUCCCCGGGCGUCGACCGGCGCACGGGUGAGUAACGCGUAUCCAACCUGCCUCUGACUGAGGGAUAACCCGUCGAAAGUCGGCCUAAUACCUCAUGGUAUCGUCUGCGGGCAUCCAACGACGAUUAAAGAUUUCAUCGGUCAGGGAUGGGGAUGCGUCUGAUUAGCUUGUUGGCGGGGUAACGGCCCACCAAGGCUACGAUCAGUAGGGGUUCUGAGAGGAAGGUCCCCCACAUUGGAACGGAGACACGGUCCAAACUCCUACGGGAGGCAGCAGUGAGGAAUAUUGGUCAAUGGGCGAGAGCCUGAACCAGCCAAGUAGCGUGCAGGAAGACGGCCCUAUGGGUUGUAAACUGCUUUUAUGCGGGGAUAAAGUGAGGGACGUGUCCCUCAUUGCAGGUACCGCAUGAAUAAGGACCGGCUAAUUCCGUG